UUCAGUAUCUUACGGCGCGUAGGCGCCUUAUCCCGCACAAUGCUGUGCCCAUGUUCCCUCUUGUGAGUAGGGACGAGCCCAGUCUCAUACACUUCAUUGUGUCUGAGUCGAGGGACAACGUUGACAAGCUUUUGGUGGUUGCUAUUGAUAUCAUCAAAGAGGCAAUAGUGUCAGUUUCUCCAUAUAUUCAAGGAGAGGAAGACCUCUGUGGCAAAGAUGCAGACAUGGUCAGGCACAGGUGCCGUCUUCUGCAGUCCUUUCUCCCUGUCAGUUCUCCAACUUGUUCUCAUCUGAUUUCGCAGGGUCCGAUCCAUGUGUAAGGAGGUGUAGGAUUGAGCUGCAACGUUGAGAAGAUGACGUCGAUCAGGAUAAGGAGCACGGGCUGCUUGGAUUGCUCUAGUUAUUAUUCAAUUUUCAGUUCAAUCUGCCUUGCGUGCUACAGUUUCAGUAUUAUUUGCUAGUUCUGCAAACUUGCUUUAUUUCUUUGUGACUUAUUUUCAUCUGUGUUUUGUAUUAUUCGGGAAGAUGCCCAAUCAUUCACUGAAUCUUUGUGAUGUCAAUUGUUUCAUCAUUCUAUAUCUAUAUCUAUAUACGGACUGUACUUAAUUUACUAAUAAAGGGAGACGUGUUUCUCUGA